CUUUACUCCCCCGAGCCUGUUGUGCUCAGUGCUGCUCGGAAAUUGAAUAGACUCUUUUCUGUGAGUUGCUAAGACAAGUUUUUUUGUUCUUGCUCCAGUCUGUAGAAGAAGAAGAAGUCGAUAAAAAAUGGAGUACAGAAGAAAAGUGUUUCUUGCUGCAAUCAUUUUCAGAGCUGUCUGCUACAAAGUGACUGCACAGGAUACAAGAGUAUUGGAUGUCCAAAAGACCACAGAUGUUGUAGAUGACCAGUACAAUGGAUGCCGUGAUGAGGCCAUGAAGAAGUUCGUUGAGUCAGGAGUGUUAAAACAAGAACUAAAUAACAGUGAAGGAUUUCAGAAAGCGUGGAAUAAAAGUAACGAGUGUUCAAAGCAGAUCCCUGGAGGAAGAAAAGAGCAUACUGCUGCACUUUCAGUCUAUCUUAAAGGAGAUCGGCCUUUCAUAAAAACACUGAACAAUGCAAUAGAGACAAUGGGUGGAAAUGUUAGCAUCUAUGAAAACCACUUCCACUUCAAGUCUCUUCAUUUCCUGCUGAUGGACUCCAUGAGGCUGCUGAAGCCAAAGGACUGCAAGAACUUUUAUGUUCUGCUAAGUGGUCAAAACCAACCACAGAAAGGCUCCACAGUGAGAUUUCCAAGUUUCACCGUAGCUCAUUCAAACUAUGAAGCGCCAAACAAUUAUUAUGAUCUGUUUGAGGACAUCGUUUUAAAGAUCACAUCUUGUUUCUUUGUCAACCUGGAAGAACACAUUUGCACUAAAGCAGAGGAUACAUUUCUCUUAUCUCCAGCAGAGGUUUUCACUGUGGAUGGCGUAAAUAGCAAAACUAUGGAGGAUGGUGAAGAAUAUGUUGAGAUUGUUUUGAAACAUUCAGGACUGAAAAGCUCACACAACUGUUUUAUCUUUCCGAGGGUCUCAGGAGAGCUGGAACCUUUCACAGCUGUCACAGAGAGAGAUAGGUCUCCUCCAGCUGUUGUCUCCACCCUGUGGCUUCUAUCAGUGCUUGUGGCCUUAUCUUUGUUUUCUUUAACUGUUUAGCAAAAACAGUUAUCAUUUAGAAUUUUAUCAUCUACAAUGCUGCUUUGUUUAUUCUUGCAGUUGUUUGGACUUUGUCUGGCAGAUUGUGCUAUCUGCCAAAUAAGGUGUUGCAUUAAGCUACCAAAAUAUAAUCAAAUAUUGUUUUCUGUUUCUGUCAUAUGUUAUAAAGACAUACUUUCAGUGAUUCUUGUUAAACAUUGUGUGCCUUUAAAAGGAUGAUAAGAAACGAGAGAGGGGAAUAACUUGCAGCUUUUCCCAGCUGGAUUCAGACUGGAUAUUCUGGAGUUUAUGGUGGCAGCUUUAACUCCCACAGCAGGAGUGUUUCCAGGAUUUUGUCAAUGGGCGUGCAUGAGUAGGCCAAGAACAAGGCAGAGUGGCACAUAGAAAAUCAAAACAUUUAUUAAAAACUUUUAAAGGGGUGCAGAAAAUUGGUAUAAAAUACACUGGGUUCAAUUUUCAGGCUAUGAGCACAGCCAAUACCACCUAUUAAUGAAGUGUGAUUGUGAUAGAAAAACUGAAUUUUUCUAUCCAUAAAAGUGAAGUCAAUAUCAAUUUCUUUAUUGAACUUUCUCUCAACAUUAGUGAACUUCUUCACUUUUUACAUUUUCCUCUGUGACUAUUUUCCAGGGAGUGGAUUUUUAAGUUGAACAUGUUUACACAUGUCGUCAGUGUGUUUAUAUUUAUAUCCUGAGUUAGUCAGCGAUUAUCUUCCUGCUUCUAAAAAAACCACGCCUUGAUGAAUCUUUCUGUUUCUCUGUCAAAUAAAGAGCAUACAAAAUGUAAAAGGCUUCACAAUGAAUGUAAUCAUAUCAGACAGACAUCAGUAAGUUUUUUUUUCUUAUGUUACAUUUAAAAACACAAUACAUCACUGGUCCAGCAGCAGGGCGAUAACUACGUAACUCUCAUCAUUAAGCUACACACCAGUGAAAUAAAAGCUGAUUGCUUACACACACACAUUCGCUGUAAAGGCUAAAUUUUAUUUAUAUUCAUCAGUAAGGCUCCAGUUCAUUUUUUAUAAAGUCUGCAUUGACGAGGUACUGAGGUAUUUGCCCCCAUGAGCUACAGUAUACUGAAAUCAUGCUAGAUCAGAGAUAUAUAGAUAAUUUAUGGCUGAGCUUAAAGGGGCUAAACCUGAACCAGCUAACAGGAACACAGUAGCUCAGUUACACAGGAAAGACUAAAGAGCUGCACUGUAUGUUAACUUGUUUCAGUUCCUCUGACCCUGUUGUUCUCAUUGCUUUCCUGCAGUUUGAUGUGCUCUUUGCUGCUCUCCUUGCUCCAGGGCUUUCUUGCACUCUGUAGAAGACUAAGAGGCCAAAAAAUGGAGAACAGAAGAAAAGUGCUUGUUGCAAUAAUUUUCACAGCUGCCUGCAGCAAAGUGUCUGCACAGGAAACAAGACUACUGGGUUUUCUAAAUAACACAGAUGUUGUAGAUGACCAGUACAAUGGAUGCCGUGAUGAGGCCAUGAAGAAGUUCAUCGAGUCAGGCGUGUUAAAACAAGAACUAAGCAACAGUAAAGGAUUUCAGAAAGCGUGGAAUAAAAGUAACGAGUGCUCAAAGCAGAUCCCUGGAGGAAGAAAAGAGCAUACUGCUGCACUUUCAGUCUAUCUUAAAGGAGAUCGACCCUUCAUACAAACACUGAACAAAGCAAUAGAGACAAUGGGUGGAAAUGUUAGCAUCUAUGAAAACCACUUCCACUUCAAGUCUCUUCAUUUCCUGCUGAUGGACUCCAUGAGGCUGCUGAAGCCAAAGGAGUGCAAGAACUUUUAUGUUUUUCAAGAUGGUCAAAACCAACCACAGAAAGGCUCCACAGUGAGAUUUACAAGUUUCACCUUAGCUUAUUCAGACUAUGAAGAGCUAAAGAGACUUGAAGAUGUCGAUGAGAAUAUGAUUUUACAUCUCACUUCUUGUUUCUUUGUCAACCUGAAAGACUAUGUGUGCGGCCAAGAACUGGAUGAAAUACUCUUAUCUCCAGCAGAAGUUUUCACUGUGGAACAAGUGGAGACAAAAACUACAUCGGAUGAUGACAAAUACCUUGAGAUUGUUUUGAAACAGUCAGGGUUGAAAAGCUCCCACAACUGUUACAUCUUUUCACGGUCUCCUCCAGCUGUUGUCUCCACCCUGUUUCUUGUAUUAGUGUUUGCAGCCUUAUCCUUAUCUGUUUAGUAAAAACAGUUAUCAUUUUCUACAAUACUGCUUUGCUUA